CGCCUCGUAGCUCAACGGAUAGAGCACCAGACUUCGAAUCUGGGGGUUGCAGGUUCGAGCCCUGCCGAGGCGACCA
rnacentral:tRNA from 1 species